GGUUCGAUCUCGCACAAUCUCAUGUUCACUUGCUGAUGCAUUUUCAGAAAUUUGGUGCUAGUUUUCAAUUCCCCGUGUGUGCCGACAAAGACUCUUCCAGUAAGACAUCCCAUGCUCCCUUCAAGGCUUCUUCAUGAGAGAUCUGAGGAAAUAUCUCAUCAAAGAUAGCUCCCUGAAUCAGCCCCAAAGCUUUGGCAUCCUUCAUGAGCUUCUCCAUGAGAGUCAUCACCCAGCAAUGCUAGAUUCUUCUUUUUCUUUCUUCUUUGCAUCAAACUCAAGCAAUUUCUUCGAAUUUCAAACUGAUUUCUUCACAUAUUCAAACACCCAAUAUCAAACGAUCGAACCUAGCUCCGAGACCAUGUUAAAAUCUAAGAGAUUAUGAUCUCAAUUUAAUGGAAAUUAUCAAAAA